rnacentral:tRNA from 1 species
CUCUGAGUAGCUCAGUUGGAAGAGCGCGGGACUGUAAAUCCUGAGGUCGAGUGUUCGACCCACUCCUCAGAGA